rnacentral:rRNA from 1 species
AUGGAGUCAUCACACAAGCUUUUCCCGGCCGUUGCCAUCCUCCUCCUGCUCGUCGUCGCCACCGAGGUGGUGCCAGCCCAGGCACGAGAGUGUGAGACAGAGAGCGAGCGGUUCAACGGGCUGUGCUUCGUGUCCGAAAACUGCGCCGGCGUGUGCGGUGCGGAGGGGUUCACCGGCGGCAAGUGCUCCGGCUUGAAGAGGAGCUGCAUGUGCACGAAGGAGUGCUAG